rnacentral:rRNA from 1 species
CGAAGGGGCUAGCGUUGUUCGGAAUUACUGGGCGUAAAGCGCACGUAGGCGGAUACUUAAGUUAGGGGUGAAAUCCCAGGGCUCAACCCUGGAACUGCCUUUAAUACUGGGUAUCUUGGGUUCGAGAGAGGUGAGUGGAAUUCCGAGUGUAGAGGUGAAAUUCGUAGAUAUUCGGAGGAACACCAGUGGCGAAGGCGGCUCACUGGCUCGAUACUGACGCUGAGGUGCGAAAGCGUGGGGAGCAAACAGGAUU